AUCCAAAAGCUCUUGCAACCCGUGUUACUUCCCCACGACUCUCUUCUCAGCAGCCCACGAACUCUUUUGCAAUAAUCAAUACCCUUGUCACCAAACAAAAGCUCCGAACUUGCCGAAGAUCCCAACUUCUGACCUCCCUUCCAUCCCGUACUAUCAACACAUCGAGCAGCAAACUCAGCUUCAGGGACACAAAUGCCACGAGACGGCGCGGUCACCGAAGGGGCAGAAAAUGUGCGAUAAAGAGUCCGAAAAAGAGAUCCCGUUCUCGACUUCUCACUGUUG
rnacentral:misc_RNA from 1 species